rnacentral:lncRNA from 1 species
CCUAUCGAUUCACGUGCCAAGCUCCGAUUUCAGCACAUGUCAUUUCCAUUCUAUAUUUUACUUCUCUAAACCCAAUAAAAUAGUAUCUCAUACUAUUUUUAUUUAUUUUCACCUUUAUACUCAAAAUCCGGUAUGUUACAUUCCACCGCAACCUCACCGGAACCAUUUAAAUGUAUACCGUAACUUCAUAGUUUUAGAAGUCCGGUACCUUAUAGAUAAAAUGAAUGUAAAUGAUGGUUUACUUGUGUUUGAUUAAAAUGUAAUCAAAUGACAUGUAUGUGGAUAAAUAUUUAGUUUAGUAUCGAUG